UACGGGGGGGGCAAGCGUUGUUCGGAAUUACUGGGCGUAAAGGGCUCGUAGGUCGCCAACUAAGUCAGACGUGAAAUCCCUCAGCUUAACUGGGGAACUGCGUCUGAUACUGGAUGGCUUGAGUUUGGGAGAGGGACGCGGAAUUCCAGGUGUAGCGGUGAAAUGCGUAGAUAUCUGGAGGAACACCGGUGGCGAAGGCGGCGUCCUGGACCAACACUGACACUGAUGAGCGAAAGCCAGGGGAGCAAACGGG
rnacentral:rRNA from 1 species